UCCGUAGGGGGCGAGCGUUGUCCGGAUUUAUUGGGCGUAAAGAGCGUGUAGGCGGCCUGAAAGGUCAGCUGUGAAAACUCGAGGCUCAACCUCGAGACGUCGGUUGAAACCAUCUGGCUAGAGUCCGGAAGAGGAGUGUGGAAUUCCCGGUGUAGCGGUGAAAUGCGCAGAUAUCGGGAAGAACACCCGUGGCGAAGGCGGCACUCUGGGACGGUACUGACGCUGAGACGCGAAAGCGUGGGGAGCGAACAGG
rnacentral:rRNA from 1 species